rnacentral:rRNA from 1 species
AGGGCAAACGGUGGAUGCCUUGGUGUCGGGAGGCGACGAAGGACGUGGCUAGCUGCGAUAAGCCUCGGGGAGCCGCUAAACAGGCUUUGAUCCGGGGAUUUCCGAAUGGGGCAACCCGCCUCGAUUAAUAUCGGGGCAUCUAUGGCUGAAUACAUAGGCCAUAGAGGCGAACGAGGGGAACUGAAACAUCUUAGUACCCUCAGGAAAAGAAAGCAAUAGCGAUUUCCUUAGUAGUGGCGAGCGAAACGGGAACAGCCUAAACCGUAGUUGCUUCGGCAAGUACGGGGUUGCGGGACCACAAUGUGGGAUGCGGAUAGUUAGUUGAACAGGCUGGAAAGCCUGGCCAUAGAGAGUGAUAGCCUCGUAAGCAAAAACUUGAAGCACCCUAGUGGUAUCCCAAGUACCACGGGACACGGGAAAUCCUGUGGGAAUCCGGGAGGACCAUCUUCCAAGGCUAAAUACUACCCGACGACCGAUAGUGUACUAGUACCGUGAGGGAAAGGCGAAAAGAACCCCGGGAGGGGAGUGAAAUAGAACCUGAAACCGUUUGCUUACAAGCAGUGGGAGUCUGCCGCAAGGCGGAUGACUGCGUGCCUUUUGUAUAAUGAGUCAGCGAGUUACUCUGUGUGGCAAGGUUAAGCCGUGAGGUGGAGCCGUAGCGAAAGCGAGUCUGAAAUGGGCGUAUUAGUCGCAUGGAGUAGACCCGAAGCCGAGUGAUCUAUCCAUGGGCAGGGUGAAGUCUCGGUAACACGAGAUGGAGGCCCGAACCAGUGUAGGUUGAAAACUGCUUGGAUGACCUGUGGAUAGGAGUGAAAGGCUAAUCAAACUCGGUGAUAGCUGGUUCUCCCCGAAAUAUAUUUAGGUAUAGCCUUGCAAGUUAAGUAACGGAGGUAGAGCACUGGAUGGGCUAGGGGUCUUACCGGACUACCAAACCUAACCAAACUCCGAAUGCCGUUAACUUUAAUUGCAGGAGUCAGACUGCGGGUGAUAAGAUUCGUGGUCGAGAGGGAAACAACCCAGAUCGCCAGCUAAGGUCCCCAAAUAUGUGCUAAGUGGGAAAGGAUGUGGGAAUGCUCAGACAACCAGGAGGUUGGCUUAGAAGCAGCCAUCCUUUAAAGAAAGCGUAAUAGCUCACUGGUCGAGUGAUCCUGCGCCGAAAAUUUAACGGGGCUCAAGCACAUUACCGAAGCUGCGGUCCGCCAGACUUCUGGCGGAGGUAGGGGAGCAUUCUGUUAACCUGCGAAGGUGAGUCGUGAGGCUUGCUGGAGGAAGCAGAAGAGAGUAUGCUGACACGAGUAGCGAUAAUGUGGGUGAGAAACCCACACGCCGUAAGCCCAAGGUUUCCUGGGUAAGGUUAAUCUGCUCAGGGUUAGUCGAUCCCUAAGCCGAGGCCGAAAGGCGUAGGUGAUGGAAAACAGGUUAAUAUUCCUGUACCAUCAAACUGGCGUUUGAGCGAAGAGGGGACGCAGAAGGGUAGGCCAUCCGGGUGUUGGACGUCCCGGUUUAAGCCUGUAGGUGGGGAUUCCAGGCAAAUCCGGAAUCCUGUUAACACUGAGGGGUGAUGACGAUCCGCCUUUGGCGGAACAAAGUGGCUGAUCCCAUGCUGCCAAGAAAAGCCUCGUAGCGAGUCAGUUUGGUGAUCGUACCGCAAACCGACACAGGUGGGCGGGGAGAGUAUCCCAAGGCGCUUGAGAGAACCCUGGUUAAGGAACUCGGCAAAAUGACACCGUAACUUCGGGAGAAGGUGUGCCCCCAUUAGGUGAAAAAAUUCGCUUUUGGAGCCGAAGGGGGUCGCAGAGAAGUGGCGGGAGCGACUGUUUACUAAAAACACAGGACUCUGCGAAGUCGUAAGACGACGUAUAGGGUCUGACGCCUGCCCGGUGCUGGAAGGUUAAGGGGAUACGUUAUUUACCUUCGGGUGGAGAAGCGUUGAACCGAAGCCCCAGUAAACGGCGGCCGUAACUAUAACGGUCCUAAGGUAGCGAAAUUCCUUGUCGGGUAAGUUCCGACCUGCACGAAUGGCGUAACGAUUUCCGCGCUGUCUCAACCAGGGGCUCAGCGAAACUGUAGUACCGGUGAAGAUGCCGGUUACCCGCGACUGGACGGAAAGACCCUGUGCACCUUUACUAUAGCUUGGCACUGGACUUUGGGGUUGCAUGUGUAGGAUAGGUGGGAGACUGUGAAAUCCUGACGCUAGUUGGGAUGGAGUCAACCUUGAAAUACCACCCUUGUUAUUCUAGAGUUCUAACCUCGGUCCCUUAUCGGGAUCAGGGACACUGCCUGGUGGGUAGUUUGACUGGGGCGGUCGCCUCCUAAAAGGUAACGGAGGCGCGCGAAGGUUCCCUCAGGCUGAUUGGAAACCAGCCGUAGAGCGUAAAGGCAUAAGGGAGCUUGACUGCGAGACUGACAAGUCGAGCAGGUACGAAAGUAGGCCUUAGUGAUCCGGCGGUUCUGUAUGGAAGGGCCGUCGCUCAACGGAUAAAAGGUACGCCGGGGAUAACAGGCUAAUCUCCCCCAAGAGUUCACAUCGACGGGGAGGUUUGGCACCUCGAUGUCGGCUCAUCGCAUCCUGGGGCUGGAGUAGGUCCCAAGGGUUUGGCUGUUCGCCAAUUAAAGCGGUACGUGAGCUGGGUUUAAAACGUCGUGAGACAGUUUGGUCCCUAUCUGUCGCGGGCGGAGGAUAUUUGAGAGGAGCUGUCCCUAGUACGAGAGGACCGGGAUGGACGAACCUCUGGUGUUCCAGUUGUCACGCCAGUGGCAUCGCUGGGUAGCUAUGUUCGGACGGGAUAACCGCUGAAAGCAUCUAAGCGGGAAGCCCACCUCAAGAUUAGAUAUCCCGUGGCGUAAGCCACCUAAAGACCCCUCGGAGACUACGAGGUUGAUAGGUCAGGUGUGUAAGGCCAGUAAUGGUCUGAGCUUACUGAUACUAAUCGGUCGUGCGGCUUGACC